rnacentral:rRNA from 1 species
UAAUGUAUGGGGAUCUGCCCGAUAGAGGGGGAUAACUACUGGAAACGGCGGCUAAUACCGCAUAAUGUCUACGGACCAAAGCAGGGGCUCUUCGGACCUUGCACUAUCGGAUGAACCCAUAUGGGAUUAGCUAGUAGGUGGGGUAAAGGCUCACCUAGGCGACGAUCUCUAGCUGGUCUGAGAGGAUGAUCAGCCACACUGGGACUGAGACACGGCCCAG